UACGUAGGGUGCAAGCGUUACUCGGAAUUACUGGGCGUAAAGCGCGCGUAGGCGGCUUUGCAAGUCGGGUGUGAAAUCCCCAGGCUUAACCUGGGAACUGCAUUCGAGACUGCAUUGCUAGAGUAUGGGAGAGGGAAGUGGAAUUUCCGGUGUAGCGGUGAAAUGCGUAGAUAUCGGAAGGAACAUCAGUGGCGAAAGCGACUUCCUGGACCAAUACUGACGCUCAUGUGCGAAAGCGUGGGGAGCAAACAGG
rnacentral:rRNA from 1 species